rnacentral:lncRNA from 10 species
CAAGAACUGGUUAAAUUUUUUAAAGGGAAGAAAGUAUGACACAUGGAGAAAAAGGUGCAGCCCAUUUCCCAGCCUGAGGACUGGCCGGGGAAAUAACUCUGAGCCCUCGAGAUGAGGGGCUAUGCCUUCCCUUGCUCACUCCCUCCCUCACCCACCUGCCCACUCGCCCAUCCACUCAACAGCGGUCGUUCUUCAUUGUAUUGUGAGCUCCCUCUGGGCUGUGCACUCCGGGCCAUGCGUGGCUGGUAACUGGGAAAUGCUCGACAUGGAAAAUUCUGCUUGAUCAUCUGAGAUGCCACCUCAGUCUUGGGGAACUCAAGGCCAGGAGGGUCACACAACCCAUUUAGCAUUGCCUAGCACCAGUGGUGAGGCCAGGCCUCCCGCGCCCUCCAUCUUUCUGCCACCACAGUCGUUUGGGGACUCAGUUCCAUGUAGAACCAGAUGAAGAUUCAUAAAGGCCAGUGGGAUAAAGACUUCCCAAUGUCCCGAAACACCCUGACACGUGUAAUUCCAAAUCUGUAAGUACUAAGUUUUAAAAUGCGUGUGAGCAAGUCAAAUUUCUGAUGUUUCCCUGGAUGACAAGAUGUUUUCUUUAUUAAAAUAUCAAGGUCUUUCUA